UAGGGAAUCUUCCACAAUGGACGCAAGUCUGAUGGAGCAACGCCGCGUGAGUGAAGAAGGUCUUCGGAUCGUAAAACUCUGUUGUUAGAGAAGAACACGAGUGAGAGUAACUGUUCAUUCGAUGACGGUAUCUAACCAGCAAGUCACGGCUAACUACGUGCCACCAG
rnacentral:rRNA from 1 species